AUGAGAUGAUAGACGACAAACUGGAUGAAACUUUAAGUCUCGUUCAGGUAGUGUGUAAAUCAAAAAUUCGAUGGGACUCGCAUCCGUCGUCCUCGCGCGGUCUUUCGUCCCGAUAUCCAGAAGCAGAGUUUGAAAAACUCUAGCGACGGCACGGGUGUCCGACUCACGACAACGAGGAAAGACAGCCGGUCCCCUCUGAACGGUAUAUUAUAUGAAACUUUAAGUCUCGUUCAGGUAGUGUGUAAGUCAAAAAUUCGAUGGGACUCGCAUCCGUCGUCCUCGCGCGGUCUUUCGUCCCGAUAUCCAGAAGCAGAAGUUUGAAAAACUCUAGCGACGGCACGGGUGUCCGACUCACGACAACGAGGAAAGACAGCCGGUCCCCUCUGAACGGUAUAUUAUAUGAAACUUUAAGUCUCGUUCAGGUAGUGUGUAAGUCAAAAAUUCGAUGGGACUCGCAUCCGUCGUCCUCGCGCGGUCUUUCGUCCCGAUAUCCAGAAGCAGAGUUUGAAAAACUCUAGCGACGGCACGGGUGUCCGACUCACGACAACGAGGAUAGACAGCCGGUCCCCUCUGAACGGUAUAUAAUAUGAAACUUUAAGUCUCGUUCAGGUAGUGUGUAAAUCAAAAAUUCGAUGGGACUCGCAUCCGUCGUCCUCGCGCGGUCUUCGUCCCGAUAUCCAGAAGCAGAGUUUGAAAAACUCUAGCGACGGCACGGGUGUCCGACUCACGACAACGAGGAUAGACAGCCGGUCCCCUCUGAACGGUAUAUAAUAUGAAACUUUAAGUCUCGUUCAGGUAGUGUGUAAGUCAAAAUUCGAUGGGACUCGCAUCCGUCGUCCUCGCGCGGUCUUUCGUCCCGAUAUCCAGAAGCAGAGUUUGAAAAACUCUAGCGACGGCACGGGUGUCCGACUCACGACAACGAGGAUAGACAGCCGGUCCCCUCUGAACGGUAUAUAAUAUACAUUAUGCGACGGUAGACGAUCAACUAGACGAAACUUUAGUCUCGUUCAGGUGGUGUAAAAAAAAUUCGAUGGGAUACGCACGCACGGCUGUCGUCGUCCUCGAGCGGUCUUUCGUCCCAAUAUCCAGAAGCAGAGUUUGAAAAACUCUAGCGACGGCACGGGUGUCCGACUCACGACAUCGAGGCUUCGAAGCCGGCGGCGUUCCCCUCUGAACGAACUUCGGCUAGACUAGUUACGAAUCGUUGCUACACAUCGUCUUCAUCGUCGUCGUCGUCGACAUCGACAUCAUCAUCAUAUCAUCAUCAUCAUCAUCAUCAUCAUCAUCGGUCAUCGUCGCAUAGCGGGCCAACAUCCACGCGAUGCGUCUUCGUUCUAGGUUACCCGAUCCACGAGUAUGUUACACGUGGUUUCGUUAUUUCGAACGAAACGACAUACGAAGAGCACACGCCCUUUGGGUAGGAAGCACGUUUCGA